rnacentral:rRNA from 1 species
UCCGUAGGUGAACCUGCGGAAGGAUCAUUACCGAGUUGAUUCGGGCUCCGGCCCGAUCCUCCCACCCUUUGUGUACCUACCUCUGUUGCUUUGGCGGGCCGCGGUCCUCCGCGGCCGCCCCCCUCCCCGGGGGGGUGGCCAGCGCCCGCCAGAGGACCAUCAAACUCCAGUCAGUAAACGAUGCAGUCUGAAAAACAUUUAAUAAACUAAAACUUUCAACAACGGAUCUCUUGGUUCUGGCAUCGAUGAAGAACGCAGCGAAAUGCGAUAAGUAAUGUGAAUUGCAGAAUUCAGUGAAUCAUCGAAUCUUUGAACGCACAUUGCGCCCUUUGGUAUUCCGAAGGGCAUGCCUGUUCGAGCGUCAUUACAACCCUCAAGCUCUGCUUGGUAUUGGGCACCGUCCUUUGCGGGCGCGCCUCAAAGACCUCGGCGGUGGCGUCUUGCCUCAAGCGUAGUAGAACAUACAUCUCGCCUCGGAGCGCAGGGCGUCGCCCGCCGGACGAACCUUCUGAACUUUUCUCAAGGUUGACCUCGGAUCAGGUAGGGAUACCCGCUGAACUUAAGCAUAUCAAUAAGCGGAGGA